CUGGCUGGCCUUGUGGCUGGGGCGCGUCCCCUAGCUGCGGGUAUAGCUGCCGGUGGCGCGGCCGCCUCCUCCGCGCUAUAGGCCGACGAGGGAGAACCUCAAGCCAAUAUGUGUCGACAUCGAGGUGGACGGCCAGCGCUACAGAGACACUUUCACCUGGAACCCGCAAGGUACCUGACCUCAUCCGCUCCUCACUUCAUUCAUCUCCGGUUCGCGUCACGUUCUCGCUCGCUGUGUGGAUUGAUUCGCUUCUUCCUUGCGGCUAGCCAGCAGAUCCCAACUCAGGAGAUCAUUAGCUUGGCCAAGUAGAUGGCCAAGGACCUCAAGCCGCCAUCCAAUUUUGUCCCAAGAUGUCAGAAAAUGCUGACAUCACAUUUAUGCAGUUGUGCCUAUCUAAUUGAGCUGCUGACCGUAUAGAGGUUGGGAUCUGGACACACAGAGGUUGAGUGCACAUCCAAUUUGUGACAGCAGAAACUUCAAUUCGUGGUAUUUUAUGUAUCUACUGUUGUAUAUACUUACCUUUUCAAGUUCCUCCUAAAAUACCACGAAUUGAUAAAUGUAUUGAUAAAAUACCACGAAUUCGCAUGGAUAAUACUACGUUUUUAUGAAAAAAAACUUGUAUAAAAACUGAGACAAACUGUUUAAAAACUGAGACAAACUGUUAUACUCACGGUAUAAAUGUGUGUGGCUUGUGGUCUAUUCUAUGCAGACAUAUACUGUAGGAUGAGAAAUCCACUUAAGUACCUGUAUCAAGAUUCACGAUCAGCAAUAUAUAGAAAUAGUUAAACCAUAUGUAUUUGUUAUCUCUUAUUUAUUAGCGCCUUUUGUUCAG
rnacentral:lncRNA from 1 species